UGAGUGAUGAUGAAGUGCGCAGGGGUACGGACCUCAGCCGGUGAUGGGGCUGAGUGCUGCUGCAGACUCUGAUCAGAGGACGAGUGGUUCUCUGACGGGCAGCGGCAGCGCGACACAGACGCCUGUCUGAACUCG
rnacentral:snoRNA from 1 species